UCCAGGAUCCAGCCUCCCGAUCACCGCGCUAGUCCUCGCCCUGCCUGGGCCUCCCCAGAGACGGGAGCUUGGGUGGGGGACCCUGGACCCGAAGCCAAGGCUGAACUGGUGUGCCAAGCCCAGGGAGCAACCAAGUCCCCAACGCUUUCCCUGCCCUUCCCGCAGGCUGAGCAGAAAACCAGGAAGUGGAUGGACUCCACCUCCGCAGCCACGCCUGCCCGUUUGCGCUUACUGGACUGAGGUCCUCAGGAACGUGAAAAUGAAGGGAGGGUUACUAACUUUAUGCCAUCUUCAAACCAGAAGAUCUUAGAUUAGUAAGAUCAUGUUGGCCAUGGCAUGGAGAAUGGGCUGGAGGUGGAGAGACUGGAGGUUGGAAGUCCAGUUAGGAGAUUGCUCCUGCGCUGGGGAGUUGGUGUUAGGACAGAAGAUCCAAGACACAUUUCAGAGAGCCCCUCUUCUUGGGCCUGCGAUUCCUCACCUGGAAGGGAGAAGAGUGGACUUCCUGCCUAGAGAACACCUUGGUAAACUCUUUGUGGUUCCUGUCAUGAGAAGGUGUGCAGCUUAGGGAAAAAGCCUGUGAGCUCUGGAAUCAGAUGGAACUGGAUAUGAAUUUCCAUUUAAACUGCCUUGGGGUUCAUGUUGCAGCAUCAAACAGGGAUGGAAGAUGCAUCUUGCUUUAGCAGCAGGAGCCUGGAAAGCAGCUGAAGCCCUGGAGGGUGCCUGGCACACAGAAUCUUGUGCUGAGCCUGGAGCACAAUGGGAGCGGGCUGGCAGGGUGGGUUCACAGCUGGACUGGGAGCAGCAGACAUACAGGCCGUAGGCACAGACAUAUAAAGACAGUCAUGCAGAUUGCAGGAUGCCUGAGAGCACAGACUCUCACAUGCACAAAUACGUGCGUGAUCGCCAGUGUGCAUCCAGACAGCCCCACAUGCAUGCACACGCAUGCACACAUGUGAUGUGUACAUAGAUGGACACAUGUCUAUGCCCACAAACACUGCAGAGACACACACAGAAGUGUCUGGCAAGGAACACUAUUUUGUCCUCAAUUUUCUGCCAGUGAGAGUCUACUGACUCCAUCUCUGAAAUGUCUCUACUUAUUGUCCCUCUUCUCCACCUGCGCCACAUCCCUAGUCCCUGAAACUCCCACCGAGACCCCUGGGCAAUAGCAAAGUCUGGACAGGAUUCCUGCUCCGCCUCUACCCCACCCUUAAGCCCAUCCUACAUGCAAGAGCAGGAGUUAUCUGGGUAUCAAGCGAAUCUGACCAGAUCACCUCCCCACUGCUUAAAACCCUUUCCUACAGGAUGAAGUUGAAAUCACUUGACAUCCCAUAUAAGGCCCUUGACUGUCUGGCAUCAGUCAUAGUCUGGCCUCAGGCCCUGGCAUGGAGUCCCCUGGACUCAGUGCUCCAGCUGAGGGCCUCCAGGAUGAAGAUGCCCUGUGCAAAGCCUCACACUUUUGCUGUUGCUGGGCUCACUGUGUGAAAUUCCCUCCUCCCUCCUUCCACCUUCCCUAUGCUGAACUGCCACUCCUCCAUCCUCCAUGGCCAGCUAAGCCAACACCUCCCCACUUCCUCCUGACAACCCAGGCACAGCCACUGACCUGUCCCAUGGCUGUCACAGCCCUUUCUUGGGCUCUCAAUGGUAUCAUUGUCACCUGUGUGCUCAUGAGCCUCCGCCACUCAACUCCAAGCACAUCAAAUAGAGAGCUCAAAACAUAUCGGAUACUCAA
rnacentral:lncRNA from 1 species